GACCCCAACCACCCCCUCUGCCGGCGGCGCGACUUCCCCAGAUCCUCCGACGGCGCGACCUCCCCAGACCUCCGGUGGCGCGGCCUCCUAGAUCCUCGCCGCCGCGCCCAAGCUUGGGCGCCGACCUAGCAGCCCCGUGCGCCGCCCUGCCACUUCCCUGCACCGCCGCCUACGCACAACCGCCAUCGCGACCCACCUCCCCGCACCGCCACCUUCCCACCACCGCCGCCACCGGGAUCCACGCACCUCCACGCGUCGCCGGUGCCUGUGCUCGUGGGCGUGCCCGCGUUCUUCCCCGUUGACGAGAUCGAGCGAGUGCCUCCGGUUCCUCUGCCAAGUCUCCUCCCCCACGCGAUGUAGGCCUCCCCGAGGCGCCGCGCGCCAGAAACCCACGGCUGUGUCUCCCGCCCUCCGGCUCUUCCUGACUUCCCCCGGCGAGGCUCCACAGCCACCGCACCGCCUCAUCCCGGUGGGGCUCUUCCACCGUGGUGCCUAGGCCAUUCAAUGACAAAGCCCAGGUAAGUGGCGCAAUGUCCCUCGGAUCCCGCUGCAACCAUGCUAUUCUCGCCAGCGCACCAUCCAUGAUGGGUGCCAUUUUCUGUUUCUUCACUACAUAUGUGAAUCCUCUCCUCAAAUGGCCAGUUGAUGUAGACCGCGUCAUCUUAAAGGAAAACCAGUGACAAUCUGUCGAGUGAAACCGGUGCACUGUCAAGCAAACAUACCUGUGCAGCUGACAAUUUGGCCGGCGGCAGCAACAUUUCUUGGCACGUGGGUGUUGGUUUUGGCGGACAAGCAAGUAGCAACAAGCAGCUGCAGGCAAAAGGUACUAGCAUGUGAAAAAAUAAUUCUAGAUCAACAAUGUUUUACAUCCCGACCCCACUUGUUUAUAAUUUGAUGGUAGGCUGUUAGAUUUAGUCGACAGUUGAUGGUGUCAUGUCGUUCCUACUACUGAAUGAACUCUGAAUUUGUAUGGUCAAUGCUAUGAAUUAUUGAAGCGGAUGGACAGGUUUGUAGAAUACUCAACUAGAUGUGUUAGUCUUCAAACAUCAGCAGAGUUCGUUUUCAAACAGCAAUACCAAUGCACAUCUUCUACAAACAAACAAAAAGGGGAAAUAUGCUAGUCUUACUGCUUAUCUACUCUUAAUUUUGAACUAACAAAAAAUUAUUGAUAUGAACUGGCAGGUGUUUGAUUGGCUCCUCUGACUCCCUUCGCCAUGCCACUCACCUCGCGUCGCUGGACCACCACGGUCACAGGCAGAAUCCUUUCGUUCAGUAUCCAGCGCAAGCAAAUCUAAAUCUGCACACGCAAGCCUUCCGUUGCCGAGUCGGCCCUCCUUCUGCUGACUGCUUCUGCAGUAGCAAGUCACGCCACCUGCACCUGUUAUCACCACAAGACGUUCUACUACACCUAUAUGUUCUACUACAACUAAACGCCGGUGGUGGUGAAGUUCUACUAUGGCUAUACGCUACGUUCUACUACAGUUGUAUGUCAGCGACCAUGAAAAUUCUACUACAGAUGUACGCCAAGUUGUACUACAGUUAUACACCAGCCGUCACUGUUGGAAAUAUGCCCUAGAGGCAAUAAUAAAUGGUUAUUAUUAUAUUUCUUUGUUCAUGGUAAUUGUCUAUUGUUCAUGCUAUAAUUGUAUUGUCCGGAAAUCGUAAUACAUGUGUGAAUAC
rnacentral:lncRNA from 1 species